GGGGACGAGUGGGUUCGACAGAGGAGGGCGCUACAAGAUUGCAGGCUGAGGUGCCACUCACCUCAUAAAACAAGUGGCACAAAAUAACUGGCGAAGAAGAGCCGGUACUCGUCGCAGCCUAACACAUAGGACUGCACCGUCCGCCUUUGCCUCUCCUCGAUGGGCAGGGGAUGGGCGCCGUAAAGUCGAGGUGCGGUUGCCCUGACGUCGAUAGGGGUAGCCUAAGCACAAUCGACUGGCCCGACUGGACUCGGUUGACAGAGGACGGCCGGGUGAGAUCAAAAAGUCAACUAAGCCUGUAGUAGAUCUUGGGCAAGCUCCUCUGGACGGGGAGUUCGACUCUCCCCCGUCUCCACCA
rnacentral:tmRNA from 1 species